UACGGAGGGGGCUAGCGUUGUUCGGAAUUACUGGGCGUAAAGCGCACGUAGGCGGCUUUGUAAGUUAGAGGUGAAAGCCUGGGGCUCAACUCCAGAACUGCCUUUAAGACUGCAUCGCUUGAAUCAUGGAGAGGCGGGUGGAAUUCCGAGUGUAGAGGUGAAAUUCGUAGAUAUUCGGAAGAACACCAGUGGCGAAGGCGGCCCGCUGGACAUGUAUUGACGCUGAGGUGCGAGAGCGUGGGGAGCAAACAGG
rnacentral:rRNA from 1 species